rnacentral:rRNA from 1 species
CCCUUAGAUGUUCUGGGCCGCACGCGCGCUACACUGACGAAUGCAACGAGCUUAUAACCUUGGCCGAAAGGUCUGGGUAAUCUCCAAAUUUCGUCGUGAUGGGGAUAGAUUAUUGCAAUUAUUAAUCUUCAACGAGGAAUGCCUAGUAAGCGCAAGUCAUCAGCUUGCGUUGAUUACGUCCCUGCCCUUUGUACACACCGCCCGUCGCACCUACCGAUUGAAUGGUCCGGUGAAAUCUUUGGACUGUGACUUUGUCUUGUUUACUCAAGACGUUGUCGCGGGAAGUUGAUUAAACCUUACCAUUUAGAGGAAGGUGAAGUCGUAACA